rnacentral:rRNA from 1 species
UGGGGAAUAUUGCACAAUGGGCGCAAGCCUGAUGCAGCCAUGCCGCGUGUAUGAAGAAGGCCUUCGGGUUGUAAAGUACUUUCAGCGGGGAGGAAGGGAGUAAAGUUAAUACCUUUGCUCAUUGACGUUACCCGCAGAAGAAGCACCGGCUAACUCCGUGCCAGCAGCCGCGGUAAUACGGAGGGUGCAAGCGUUAAUCGGAAUUACUGGGCGUAAAGCGCACGCAGGCGGUUUGUUAAGUCAGAUGUGAAAUCCCCGGGCUCAACCUGGGAAUUGCAUCUGAAACUGGCAAGCUUGAGUCUCGUAGAGGGGGGUAGAAUUCCAGGGGUAGCGGUGAAAUGCGUAGAGAUCUGGAGGAAUACCGGUGGCGAAGGCGGCCCCCUGGACGUAGACUGACGCUCAGGUGCGAAAGCGUGGGGAGCAAACAGG